rnacentral:ncRNA from 2 species
UUGGGUAAGGAACGCUGCGACAGGGAUCCCCUGCUAGGCUUAUUCAAGGUUUAAAUUUCAACGGCGUUCAUUAUUA